UCGUUAACAUCCCCCCCCCCCUCUCUCUCUCUCGAUGAUCGAAGGUUCCGAAUCAGAAAGAGAUCGACGGAGCACCAGAUCUUUUCUUUCUCAGCAUCAUCAUUGUUCUGCAUCAGGUUUGCUGAUAUCGGAGAAGAACGAAGGAACAAAAAGAAAGAGAUCGACAGAGUUCACCAGACCUUUCCGUUCUCAGCGUCGCCAUUGUUCUGCGUCAGGUCUUGUUGAUAUCGAAGAAGAACGAAAGAACAAAAUGCGACGAGAUCGGAAAGGUCUGGUGAAAGAGCUGCUUGGCUCUCCAGUGCCUAUAAUUCUAGUCGUUGGAUAUCCUAAUAGCUCAUUAAUGAUGUCUAUGUAAGGGUCUCUUUGGCCCUUGUCAUUCUAUGCUUCUUUUGAAGCUUUUCUAGGCAUUUUUAUAUAUUUUUUUGCCUUAGUAUACUUUGUUUCAUUGAAAGUUUCUUCUUAUGACUGUUUGUUUAACUGAAAGUUUUCCUUGUGACUUGAUAUUUCUUAUUUCUAUAUCAUAGUUAUUCACAAAAUGUUUAGUUUGGGCUUAGUUGAAUUUUCUGCAUACAGCUAUUUCAAGUUUUAAAGUUCAAUGGAGAACUGAGAUUGAAAAAUGGCAAUGGAGAUGUGGUCUGCUGUCCAAGAAUAUCUACACGUCUGUCUUCCAAGUGUAUUUGUUUGAAGAUUGUAAUUUAUGAAGGGCAGAGUUUUUGGUUUAUACUGAAAAAAUUUGUGAAUCUCUUAAUUUUCUUCUAGUUGUGGUCCUUUUUUUCUAUAAUUUUAUCAGUUAUUUAUGCUAAAUUUGUAAUUUUAUCUUGGUGCGAGGCUGUGUGAAUUCUUCAAAGUGGUGAUUCAGAGGAUUUACCUGAAAUAGUGGAGGGGCAAACAAGUUCCUAUGAUAAUAUUACAGAAAUAGAAGGAACACAAGAUGGUUAUGAUGAUAACAAAAUUGCAGAUGUAUACUUGGAAAGGGCAUUAUCUGUUCUUCUUGAUGUUACUUUGUUGGAAGAUCUUUAGUAUGUGGAUGAAGGGAAGACGGAUCUUGUUUUGUGCUGUUGUUGGUGGAGACUAAGGCCUGCACAGAUGGUGUAGGCAUACGUGAGAAAGCUAAUAGGAAGACUGCUACCAUCCAGAUCUAAUAGUAUGGUUCCUUUUGAUAAAUUUGCUGAUGUUGUGUUUCUGUUGGACCUGAUCCUGCUUAUUUCUUGCACUUUCUAUUACAAACUACUUAGUCAUGCAUAAGCUCAAAUGGUAGUAGAACUUAUGUCAGUUAGACAGCUUCUGUUAAUAAAUGGGAGGACAAAAGAUGAAGUUGCAAGGAGCUUGGAAAGAGUGUUGCUUACAAUGCGAAUAAGCACCUCAGAGCCUAAGGUUUUGAGGAGUGCCUUCAAAAAGAUGCACAUGUAUGUGCACCAGAAGUACGGUUAUUCGUAUGAAUGGAAUGAGUAGUAUAUACCAUGUUGCAUGGAUACUUAUGUUACAUUGGUUUCGAACACUCUUGGAUUUGCUGCAAUAGAAGACUGUCUGCAGGUGUUCCUGAAACAAUCGAUCUGCUUCAGGAAGCUGGAAUCAACUUUUGGAUGCUUACUGGUGAUAAACAAUAUACAGCCAUUCAGAUAGCGCUCUCUUGCAACCUAAUUUCUCUUGAUCUUUAGUAUGUGGAUGAAGGGAAGACGCCCUUGAUCUUGUUUUGUGCUGCUGUUGGUGGAGACUCAGGCAUAGGAAGACUGCUACCAUCCAGAUCUAAUAAGCCAAAAGGACAGCUUCUGUUAAUGAAUGGGAGGACAAAAGAUGAAGUUGCAAUGAGCUUGGAAAGGGUGUUGCCUACAAUGCGAAUAAACACUUCAUAGCCUAAGGUUUUGAGGAGUGCAUUGAAAAAGAUGCACAUCUAUUUGCAUCAGAAGUACGGUUAUUCGUAUGAAUGGAAUGAGUAGUAUGUACCAUGUUGCAUGGAUACUUAUGUUACAUUGGUGAUCAAUCUUGCAAAUGCUCCAUCAAUUGUUGGCAAGCAUUUAGACGAUGAGUGUCCUGAAGAUUUCAUCAAAGUCCUUAUUCUCUUUGUUUCUUCUUUUUUCAUGUUGAGAAGAGAUUUGCAGAGCUGCUGGAUGCAAGCCCAUCCUUGCCGUAUCUGAUCUUCUGGAAUCCAGCCAAAUUCUUGCCUCUUUUUGAUGAAGCCGCGACAUGGCCCAGGAACUGGUGUUUGAAGCAUGCAAAAGUUGCAAGGAGAUGGUGUUGAAGGAGUCCUUGCAUAUGCACAUGGUUAUGUGGGCGGUUCUCCAUUGGAGUGUUCCAAAGUUUUUCCAAGGAUUGGUUGUUUGAGACAAACACAGAGGGAUUAGUCUCACUCUGAACGGACCAUGAUCAGAAAAUGCAAGCACAUUGGAGAAGUGCUGAAGUUUGCCAAUGUUUGGAACACAGUCUUGAGGUUCUUGGAGUUGCUGCAAUAGAAGACCAUCUGCAGGUGAUUCUCUUUUUCCUGGGGAGUAUUGUUUCGUGCGAGAGCUUUCCUUCUGGUUUGACUUGAGUAGAUUGCAUUCGUUUUCUUUUGGAUGCCAUUGCAGGAAGGUGUUCCUGAAACAAUCGAUCUGCUUCGGGAGG